rnacentral:misc_RNA from 1 species
CAGUGGCAUACCAAUCUACAAUAAGGUCAGUCUCAAAAAGAUUAAUAAAAAAAAGUACAUUAAGAUAAUGUCCAGCGGAGCCUUGCAAGAUCCAAAAUGAAGAUGGCACAGAAUAUUAGAAUAUUCUUCUACUCCUUGAUUGGAAGUAACACCGUAGGCUUUAAGAAGCCCAUCUGUAUCUCUUUUUGUUUUUUUUUUUU